UCCAUUGACAAUGUUAAGGGGUGUGAGGGAGGUGGAUGGCGAUUUCCGUGUCAGACUGGGGGAACUGGAAUGAAGCUCAGGGAUUACUCCCUCAGACAUUUUCAUAGAGAAGGCAAAUUGAAAAGGGAAGAAAAAAUCCUGGCAAACAAUUCAUGUUUGUCACCUGGUUUUCUCUCGCUGGGGCUGCAUUUCCUUAUCAGCUGUGUGCAGUUUUUCCGCAGUUUUUUCUUUUGUUUUUCACCUCAGCUCUAAAGCCUGCCACGGCUGCUCUGAGCCCUGUUUCCCUGAAAGCCUGUGGCGGGGUUAAGCUAGGAACCAUUAGUGCUUGGCUUUAACCCCUGUGAGCUUCAUGUGUUUCACCACCUGAGGAGGAACUUGUGCUGAUCUUUUCCAGGGUCACAUGUGGGCGGAUUCUCACAGAGGAUCAGGGGCUGCCGACUAAUGUGAGGACACAUUUUAGGGAGGUCGAGCCAAGUGUGUUGGUGAGCUGCAGCAGAAGAGAAGAGGGCAAUGUUGUGACGAGAUACAAUGAUUACUGGGCUUGGUCAACCAGAAAAUGAAGAGAGACACAUUAACACAAGGAUGAGAAAUGGAAAACCAAUGUCACUGUAACAGACAACGCUGAAAUAUCCACUCGGUGUAUCCAUGUGCGAGACGCUCAGGAUGGAGAACAUGGAACUGUACGCAUCAAUCAGCUCAGUGAGAGCUAAAGUCAUGUCAGCAGGUAUUAGUUUGUCGAUGCCUUGAUGUUACCAACCAACCAGACUGUUUGUAUUUAAGGGGCAUGUCUUCUUCAUGAAGUAAUUUGCUACUCUGUCAAUAUUUUUUCUUUAGAUAGCAAAACAAAUAAAUGCUAUUUGACCUUAUUUUUUAUUGCAUUGCAUACGGAGAAUGUGACAUAUUACAUGUGAUCAGUUCUGCUGCUGGGUGUACCUCUGCUGCUUUACUAUGAAGAAGAACUUGUUUACAUUUUACCAGAUUGUCUUUUGUUGUUACUGGUAUUCCUUCUCACAAUAUCUGGACAUCACAGUCGAUCACAGAAAUCCAAGCAGGAUGUUAUGUUACCGUAGGCCAUUCUCGGCAUCAUCAGUGCUUUUCCAGCAGUCAUGAAUUUCAAAAAUGGUCCAAAGAAAUUUUGGAUGGAUGAAUGCUGCAGGCGAUUUUUGAUGCUUCCGCUUUAUUUGCUCGGAGAAGAGGAGGCAGAGGAGCGUACAGCAGAAGAAAGAAAGGUUGGAGCUUUUUUUUUAAAUUUUUUUUUUAACAAAUUCCCCUUUGACCAGCACACCCUCGUGGCCACAGGGUAACUGAGGGAGACAGCACUGACUGCAGGAAGCAAUAAAAGUAUGAACCAGAGAAACAGAAAAGGCUUCAGUGACAUCAAGGAACAACAUUUGUAUGAUUUACUGACUAGAAUAGCUGAUUUGUUUAGACAGCUGGAUGAACUUUUAUUGUUUUAACUCGCCAACUGUUUCAUUUUUAACAUUUUGAUUUUGCCCUUAUCUGUUUUUAAAUGUCAUAAUCCUAUUUUCUCCACUUAAUCAGGUAAACAUCUGUUACCCUGUUAGACUUUUUAUUAAUUCUUGUUCCAGUAUGUCGCUUGACUCACCUGACUCGUUUGUGGUUCAAUAUUUAACAGUAACUUGUCCAGUAACUUGCAUUUAUAUAUGUAUGGUAUCUACUAUAAGGUCUCCACCAACACUUCCCCUACUAGCUGCAGCUUUAGCACACCAGCUCACCCACAACUCUGUCCAAACAUGAGCAAGGUGUGAUAAACUGGAAAUCGACUCAGAAGAAUAAUAAUACUACAGAAGGCCUCACUUUGUAAUUUACCAAGAUUGAUUCCUUAAACUGUGUUAUGUAUGAAAUCCUACAAGCCUGAAUCCAUGUUUGUGAGGCUGUCACUACAGUUUCAAAGUGGAAAUACUCAGCUAUGGGUUUUUCCAGCAAAUAAAAACCACCAUAGGCACAUUCUAACAAGGUAAGAAAUCUGAUUUUCGUUUGAGUGGGUCUUGAAGACAUUUUCAUUUCAGAUUAGAUGUACUGAUUUCAUGGUUUUGAUAAGCACGAUAAUGGGUAACAGGUGAAAAUGAAGAAAAAGUGAACUAAAUCCACCAAGAAACAAGACCUGUUAAGAAGACAACAUUAGGAUGAAUAUUACGUAUUACACAUUGGCUGCAUUCACCAGCUCUUUCUUCCAGCAUCUGUGGUGAUUUAUGGAUGUUGGCUACCUCGAACUUCAGGCUUGAUGCCGUUUGAAGGCAAGAAGCUAAAAGUGAUGACUGACAGCUUCUGCAUUAUGGACUCGAGCUGAGCCAAAUCUUGCAGUACCUGUAGUGAGAGGCCGGCGGCAAUUAUGUCUGAGGGUUAUGUCUGUGUUGACUGAUCAAGAAAGCCAGGCGGAAAACGAAAAAAAAACACUGCCCAGCCGUGUUUUACAUACACUGGUGCAGUGGUUAUCUUCACAGCAAGAAACUCUGGCUCAGUUUCCUCUCAGAGUACAAAUAUGUACCGGUCAGGCUAAGUGCAACUCUAAAGCUGCCAGAAGAUGGAAUUUUGAAUGUGAUAGUGUUAUCCUAAAGGUCUUUAUUAUGUGUAUUAGCCUUCUGAAGCUUGCUUCUUUCCCAGUGUUUGCAAGAAUUGGCUCCAGACCUCUGCAGCCCUGCUAAUGAUAAAUGAGCACGGAUACAUGGAUGGAUGUUGACAUAUAUGAAGGGCAGACUAUUAGAAGCAUCUGCAAAUAUAAAUUAAAUAUCUUUCAGUGGAACAACAGGCUUGCAGUUGCACAAUCUGGAUGUGUUCACAUGCAGUCAGAGCUGUCCUGCUGUCCCCACAGACCCCCGGCGCUUGAUGGCUUUCAUGCUGACUUAUUGAAGCCCUUAAAAAGCCAGUAGGUAUGCAGUGCUGCAGGCAUGGCUUGAGGGAAUUACAGAGUAUUCAUGCAGUUCUAAUAAUGAUAAAAAUCUAAAGGGAUAACAAGGGAAGUUGGAAAUUAUCACUAAAUUGUCAGAAAAAAAUAUAAUGUAAAAAAUAAUAGAAAGAGUUAUCCAGAUCAAAUUUACAUGUAAAUGCCAGCCAGCACGGAAACCAGUUCUUUGUUCUCUAAAGGAGUGAUCACUGCCUUAGUUUUGUCCCUACGUGUAGUCAAGGAAACUUUUCAACUCCGGCACCGCAAGUUUUACAUUGUCUCAGGCCAAAGAAAGAAACGACAAAUCAUGUACAAAGAACAGAUGAUAGAAAUGCAGCACCAGAGGGUAUAUUUGUUUUUAAUGUGAAGGCUAUUUUAGAGAUUUUCUUCUGUCUAACAAUGAAAAACCGGAACCAAAACUCAAAUAUCAGCGUCCUGAAUCCAUGUGGAUUUUAUGAAAGCUUUUCCUUUGGUGUGUAGUUAAAAUGUACCCACUAAUGUGUGCUGUAUCUCCGAAACAUUGCUCAGAAAUUUGGACAAUUUAAUGAAAUGUGCUUUUAUUCCCUUGUUCAAUUUGUUUUAACAUGAAAAUGACUCUGACUAUUCUCUGUCAGGAUGUUGUGUUCUCGCUCCUGUUAAAAGAGUCUGGGGGUCCACUGUCCUGGUGGCAUAAUCCCCUCAUUUUCCAUUCCUCACACAGCCCUCGGGAUUGAUGGAGAUUGUUUUUAAGGUGGCUUUGGUCUGUAUAGUAACAUGUGACAUUCCCCCUUUUCUUUUUUUCUGCAUUAAACAAAGUAGGUUCCAACAUUA